CUGUGAAUAUAUCUUUAAAAACAUUGAAAUGAACACUUUAAAUGGGAAAAUUGUAUAACGUGUUAUAUAUGUUUUAAAGCUAGCUCAAUGAAUGCCAAGAAGAAUAGGAUAAAAAAGGAUUUCAAAAGUGGGAGGGUAUGAUAAGGGAGAAAACUGUGACUUUUACUAGAUUAUACAUUUCUCCAGCACAUACUUUUUAAUUGCUAGUACUUAACCUAACCUUCCUUCAGAUGCUGUUUUCAUUGCCUCUUGCUUAUUUAAGUAUUCUUUGCUUCCUUAAUUCAAAUGAGCAAGUCCUUCUUACAUAUACCAGUUGCAGAAAGAACUAGAGAAGCUAAAAUAUAACUGCUAAUAUUCCCCAGUUUUGUUUUGCUAUAGAUCUUAUUACUUUCACAAAAUGUUGCUACUUAAUUAUUGAAAACUUGUUCUGCCUAAUCUGACACACCUGUUUCAUUUUGGUAAUGGUGCUGCAGCAGGUAACCACCUCUACACAGAUUGCACAACCUUUAAUACUUACUGACUCAUCUGUUUCUCUGAAAAAAGACUUCCAUCUGGGUAUCUUAGUCAUGACAGGUUUCUAACUUCAGGUACAUGUUCUGCUAGAAACAAAUUCACCACAAAAUUUUAGACCCAAUAGUUGAUCAUUUCUAAUUAUUCCUUUUCAGUAUAAACUCUCCUUUAAUAAUGUUCAUGUAUUUUUCUUGUAAUUAGACCUAAUUGCAGUUACUAAAUCAAGCAAAAAUUUUAAAUGACAUAGGAACUCAAAUGGUAAGAGACCCAAUCUCAAUCCAGGUACUUCUACAAAUUUAACCAUUUCUUCCUCCCAAGCAACAAGGUCUACAUGCUAAAAGGACCUGGGAGAGCACGUUUUUUCAGUCUAUAAAACAUUUUGUUAUUCUUUUCCAUCACUGAUGCCUACUUUGUUUAUGCUUAAGUAACAUAAAAAGGGCAUUAAAAUAUUCCUGGAUGAGUCCAAGUAUUUCUGCUCUGUGGUAAAUUUCCAUGGAGACCCUAGUUUGCAACAUAAUCUGAGGAAAAAACUGUUAUAUUCCACAUUACUGGGUAUAUACCCCUACAGUAUGAUUAUGAGUUUAAUGUACACUUAAGAGUUAUAUUAUUAUCAUAACUCUCCCAGAUAUUUUAAUUUAGCAUAAGAGAUAGCAUUGUAUGGAAAAAGCACUGGUUAAAGAAUUAUAAGUUGGAAGGUUGUACAUCAAGUUUGUCAUUAUCUAGAUACACAAUCUUGGUCAAGUCAUUAACAUCUCUAAGCCUCAAUAUAUGGAGGCUUAAUGAUUGCUAACGGCCAUUCCAAUUCUAAGGUUUAAUGAUUCUUCAACCCAUGUAAUCCAUUAUAAUGCAUAUUUAUUAAUAACAAGGCUAAUUAUGAUAGUACCACACAUGGGGCUUUCUUGGUGGCACAGUGGUUGAGAAUCCACCUGCCAGUGCAGGGGACACGGGUUUGAGCCCUGGUUCAGGAAGAUCCCACAUGGCACAGAGCAACUAAGCCCAUGAGCCACAACUGCUGAGCCCAUGUGCCACGACUACUGAAGCCCGCACACCUAGAGCCCGUGCUCCGCAACAAGAGAAGCCACCACAAUGAGAAGGCUGUGCACUGCAAUGAAGAGUAGCCCCCACUUGCCACAACUAGAGAAAGUCCACGUGCAGCAACGAAGACCCAACACAGCC
ensembl:lncRNA